CUGGAAGCGGGGCCGGCUGCCUUCCUGUUGCAAUGGACGCGGGGUCUUGCCGGCAGCGCCGUCCUCCUCGCUGCUCUGGGCGCCCAGGAGCUACAGCAUGCUACACGCGGGUGAGGAUCAGUCCCACAUCAGUGGGAGGGAGAGCGAGGAGGAUCCUGCUCCCCGGUCCUCUGCACCGGCACCCGGAGAGAAGCCGGGGGAUUCAAGAGACCAGAAACGGGGGAGUGAUGAGAGGAAGAAGACAGAAGAUAGAUAAAUAAAUAAUAAAACGCAAUCGAGCCGUAACACCACAGGCCCCGGGAACGCUGCACCAUCCAGUGUUGGGAAGGGAAAAAAAAAUAGAAGAGGAAAAAAAAGAACCAAAACACUCCACGAAGACGUACCCCCGAUAAUGGCGCCUGAGUGGAUCAGCAUUAAAUGUGCUUUGGGGGUGUGCGUGUGUGUUUGCAAAAGCAGGGAAAAAAAAAAAAAAAAAAAAAAAAA